AUUGAACGCUAGCGGGAUGCCUUACACAUGCAAGUCGAACGGCAGCACGGACUUCGGUCUGGUGGCGAGUGGCGAACGGGUGAGUAAUGUAUCGGAACGUGCCCAGUAGCGGGGGAUAACUACGCGAAAGCGUAGCUAAUACCGCAUACGCCCUACGGGGGAAAGCAGGGGAUCGCAAGACCUUGCACUAUUGGAGCGGCCGAUAUCGGAUUAGCUAGUUGGUGGGGUAACGGCUCACCAAGGCGACGAUCCGUAGCUGGUUUGAGAGGACGACCAGCCACACUGGGACUGAGACACGGCCCAGACUCCUACGGGAGGCAGCAGUGGGGAAUUUUGGACAAUGGGGGAAACCCUGAUCCAGCCAUCCCGCGUGUGCGAUGAAGGCCUUCGGGUUGUAAAGCACUUUUGGCAGGAAAGAAACGUCAUGGGUUAAUACCCCGUGAAACUGACGGUACCUGCAGAAUAAGCACC
rnacentral:rRNA from 1 species